rnacentral:rRNA from 1 species
UACGAAGGGGGCUAGCGUUGCUCGGAAUUACUGGGCGUAAAGCGCACGUAGGCGGCUUUUUAAGUCGGAGGUGAAAUCCUGGAGCUCAACUCCAGAACUGCCUUCGAUACUGAAGAGCUCGAGUCCGGGAGAGGUGAGUGGAAUUCCGAGUGUAGAGGUGAAAUUCGUAGAUAUUCGGAGGAACACCAGUGGCGAAGGCCGGCUCACUGGCUCGGUACUGACGCUGAGGUGCGAAAGCGUGGGGAGCAAACAGG